rnacentral:rRNA from 1 species
UACGAAGGGGGCGAGCGUUGUUCGGAUUUACUGGGCGUAAAGGGCGCGCAGGCGGCUCAUUUUGUCAGGCGUGAAAGCCCCGGGCUUAACCUGGGAACUGCGUUUGAUACGGAUGGGCUAGAGUUCGGGAGAGGAGAGUGGAAUUCCCAGUGUAGAGGUGAAAUUCGUAGAUAUUGGGAAGAACACCGGUGGCGAAGGCGGCUCUCUGGACCGAGACUGACGCUGAGGCACGAAAGCGUGGGGAGCAAACAGG